rnacentral:rRNA from 1 species
UACAUGGGGUGCAAACGUUGCUCGGAAUUAUUGGGCGUAAAGCGCGCGUAGGCGGUUACUUAAGUCGGAUGUGAAAGCCCUCGGCUUAACUGAGGAAGUGCACCCGAAACUGAGUAGCUAGAGUACGAAAGAGGGUCGCGGAAUUCCCGGUGUAGAGGUGAAAUUCGUAGAUAUCGGGAGGAACACCAGUGGCGAAGGCGGCGAUCUGGGAAGAUACUGACGCUGAGGAGCGAAAGCGUGGGGAGCGAACAGG